UAUUAGGAGAAUCUACUUCUCCAAGUAUGCUCUUCUCACAGAUGAGAAUUGGCAACAUCAGAGGUUUACAGGAAGAGGUGCUGUUAGAGUGCUUAGUAAAGAAUAUUUAUGGGGUGGGAGCGUGGAUUUUUUAUUUACCUCAUUGGCAGUUGCCAGCUGAACUGGCCUCAAAGUACUGAAUCUGGAAAUCAAAGCAAUGGGAUCAAGAGAACUGGAGGCGAGAGGUGCGUGUGCCUAUAACACUACCUGACUGCAAUGCCACUGAAGCCCUAAGCACGGCAGAGCAACUGGCUCCCAAAGGCAGUGCGUUGUGUCCCUGGCAUCCUCAAGUCAAACAGCAGCAUUUUAGGAUUUUCCAGACAAAGAUUGCAAGCUGCACAGGUGUGGGGAAACCUGCAGCUGAGCAACACCCUGCACAAAAAGGAGCCAGAUGGCCUGGGGAUAUCCUCACAAAGUCAGCUUGAUAAGGGAUGAUGGGGGCAGCUGUGAGAGGAGGUACCAGUGCAGCAGCUGAUGUUUUCCAACCAAGUACAAAGAAAUGGCCAUUGUGAGAGCAACGAGGGAGAAGCCCAGAGAAAUGCCCACACUUCAUCCUCCGUCCUUCCUCCUAGUGAUGUCAGAAGAAAAGAAAAGUGUGUAACAGGCAGAAAAAUCAAAACUAUCGACAUUGCUGCUGAUUUCAGCAGUGACUCAUCCGCAGCCUCACCCGGUGAGAGCUCACUUUCAUCGCUCAUUAUAAAACAAUAUCUCCUAAUGGGGGUGCAGGGGGGGUGCAGUGCUCUGUUCUGCCAACAAGAAGACUUUUACCCUGGAAAUCUGUGAGUGUAAUUUGCCGUCAGGCAUGCCCGCCCGCACGCACACGCAGGUAAUGAUGGUGUUAGCCGCCUGACAAAUUGCGGGGCCUUGCACGUUUGACCUCCUCCCCUGCCCUGCCUGCAGUAUCACAUCUCCCAGGGGGUUCGUCCUGACAUCCCACCCUGGAACGGCUUCCAGACGCUGCCAUUUUGGGUAUCCUGCUUAUUUGUUUCUUUCCAAAGAUCCUCCCUGCUCUCACCUCUGGGGUUGCUCUGUCUCGACUGCCACUGCACCCAGGGAUCGGUUUUGUGCCAGGCCUUGCUGAAGGAUCAAAUACCUCAUCGUCUGUCUGACUGGAAAUGUGAACUUUAUAUCGAUGGUGGAAAGGAGAGCUUCAAAGCAUUCUGAAGAGAUGUUUAGCUUUCGCCUUUAGCCCUGAAUAUUCUCCAAAUAUUGGACUUCAAAGCUGAGACCUUCUUCUACGUACAGCAAAGUUAUUCUGGACAUCUUCUGAAUACCUCUGGAUUGAUUAAGUUUAAUCUUCCUUUCCAUCCUAGCCCUGUACUGUUCACCUUACAGUAGCUAGGGCUUGAGAAGGAGGGAGAUCUAAACCCAGCCCCAAUAAUAUUUUUAAAGUGUUCACAAGCCUUGCCAAAAUAGUUUUACUGUAAAAAGUGCAGUGCAUAAGUCUCUGAUUCAGCACAUCUUUAUCUUCUCCUGGAUUUUAGUACAAGUUAUGCACUUAACUGCUGAAUGGUAAUAGAUUAAAACACAUGUUUAAACACUUUGCUGAAUAGUGUCCAUACAAAAUGCAUGAUGUUGUGCUGCAAGGUUUGUUCUUCACCCACUCAGGGCUGAAAGGACACAAAUUCUCUGGUGGCUGUGGUGCUUGUGACUAAAGAAAGCUUCUCCCCUUCAGCCGGGUAAACAGCUUCGCACCGCGUUAUCUGAUGUCCUCGUGCUCUCUUUCAAGGCUGUUUGUUUAUUUGGGCCUCUUUAUCGCAGCAUUCAGACAAAAUACUUAAUCAGAUAUGUUUGUAUCCUAGCAUGGUAGUAAAUGACCUCAAAUUACAGUGUUAUGUUUUCAAAUUUUCUGAUGUGAAGAUAUUCCCAUUGCAGGAACACAUUAGUAGGAGUCAGUCCUUGACAUAUAUUCUAAUUAGUAGAUCGUGAUUUUAAUUGCUAAACUUUAAUAAAUGUCAGUGUUGGCCCCGCU